GGGGUAAUUUUAUAAUUCACUAUUAAAAUGUGGAGUCGUGACGAGACCAGGUUACUUGCAGAGAGGUUAGCAGGGCAACACGUCCCGGCUUCGGGCCUCAUGGACCUCACGCCGAUCAGGUGGUGUCCAUACUGGUUGGAUUCAAUUGUUUCGGGUAAAUCUUGGAGACUGGUUCUGGCAUUUUGAUUUGGGGAAUCUUUUAGUUUUCAAUCUCAAAUGGCCAUUGGACAGGCCGGUGCUGAUGUGAAUAAAAUUGACUAUAUGGGCAUUACUUGAUGGCAGCAAUGAACAGUGUCCUACCUGGUAUGAUGAACUGCUUACUAGAUGCUGGUGUUAACCCAAAUGUUCCUGCCAGACUGAGUUAAUGAGUCUUAUAUUAUUUCCUCCUCUGCCUUUGUGAUCCCAUUUUCAUGCAGUACGAAGUUAAAAGUAGUUUUAUGUUUUUGU